ensembl:lncRNA
UGUGUAUGUAUGUGUGUAUUGGUGUGUAUUAGUGUGUAUUGGUAUGUAUGUGUGUAUUAGUGUGUAUUGUUGUGUAUUGGUAUGUAUGUGUGUAUUAGUGUGUAUUGGUAUGUAUUGGUGUGUAUUAGUGUGUAUUACUGUGUACUGGUAUGUAUGUGUGUAUUAGUGUGUGUAUGUGUGUAUUGGUCUGUAUGUGUGUAUCAGUAUGUAUUGGUGGGUAUUGGUCUGUGUGUGUGUAUUGGUAUGUAUGUGUGUAUUGGUGUGUAUUGGUAUGUAUGUGUGUAUUGGUGUGUAUUAGUGUGUAUUGGUGUGUAUUAGUGUGUAUUGGUAUGUAUGUGUGUAUUGGUGUGUAUUAGUGUGUAUUGGUAUGUAUGUGUGUAUG